UAGUUUUCUCCUUUUCUCUUUCUCUACACACACACACCCACAAUCACAAUUUCUUUGCAUUAUAAAGUUUUGAUACGUAUACAUAUAUAUAUAAUCACAGGAGUAAAUUAAGCUUGUGAAGGACAACAAUGGAUUCAUACAAAUACCCAAAACAAGAUGCAGAAGUCUCUUGGUCGACCGGUCUCUGUGACUGCUUCAGUGACAUGCGAAGCUGUUGCAUAUCCUACUGGUUACCAUGAGUUACUUUCGGGCAGGUUUCGGAGAUUGCUGACCAGGGAAAAUCAUCAUGUUGUGUGAAUGGAACAAUCUUUGCAAUAUUGGGUGGUGUGACUCACUGCACUUGCUGCUACGCGGCUUAUUAUCGGCAUAAACUGAGGAAGAAUUACAUAAUUGAAGGCAACUGUUGUGAAGAUUGUUGUGUUCAUACCUUUUUGGGGCCCUGUGCACUCUGUCAAGAGUAUCGUGAGCUCCAACACCGUGGAUUUGACAUGACCCAAGGAUGGCAAGCAAAUGUGGAGAAGCAAAAUCGUGGGGUGGUGAUGCCUCCAACCGUAGAAGGAAGCAUGACUCGAUGAUUAAUUAAUUAUUAAUUACAUGUUAAUUAAUGUGGAAGGUUUAAUUAUGUAUCUUGUGUGUGGGAGCGUUUGUGUUUUGUUAUGAGGGUGCAUAUAGUUUUAUGUUCGAAUAAGCAUUUAUAUAUGCAUAUUUGAAUUGUAAUAUUAUUUAAUUUUAAAUAA